GCUUUUCGGAGUGUAAACCCCUUUCGACCCGGACGAAGUGACCUCGCUAAGGAGGACUGACGGUACGGGUAUAAGAAGCCCCGGCCUAACUACGUGC
rnacentral:rRNA from 1 species